AUGGGGGCGCCGGAGUGGUGGUGGUCGACGUGGAGGGGGCUGGCCGUCGCCGCCACGGCGGCGUGCCUGCUCCUUCACGUGGCGGCGCGGGUGGCGGACGCGCUCUGGUGGCGGCCGCGGCGGCUGGAGGCGCACUUCGCGCGGCAGGGCGUGCGCGGCCCGCCGUACCGCUUCCUCGUCGGCUGCGUCCGGGAGAUGGUGGCGCUCAUGGCGGACGCCACCGCCAAGCCCAUGUCGCCGCCCACCUCCCACAACGCGCUGCCCCGGGUGCUCGCCUUCUACCACUACUGGAGGAAGAUCUACGGGCCGACGUUCUUGAUAUGGUUCGGGCCGACGCCGCGGCUCACGGUGGCGGACCCCGAGCUGGUCCGCGAGAUCUUCCUGACGCGCGCCGACGCGUUCGACCGCUACGAGGCGCACCCCAUCGUCCGGCAGCUCGAGGGGGACGGCCUCGUCAGCCUGCACGGCGACAAGUGGGCCCUCCACCGCCGCGUCCUCGCCCCCGCCUUCUACCCCGACAACCUCAACCGGCUGGUUCCGCACGUCGGCAGGUCGGUGGCGGCGCUGGCGGAGAGGUGGCGGGCGAUGGCGCGCGCGAGCGGCGGCGAGGUCGAGGUGGACGUGGCGGAGUGGUUCCAGGCGGUGGCCGAAGAGGCCAUCACGCGCGCCACGUUCGGCCGCAGCUACGCCUCCGGCCGCGUGGUGUUCCGCAUGCAGGGCCGCCUCAUGGCCUUCGCCUCCGAGGCCUUCCGCAAGGUGCUCGUCCCGGGCUACCGGUUCUUGCCGACCAAGAAGAACCGGAUGUCGUGGGGCCUGGACAGGGAGAUCAGGCGGGGUCUGGUCCAGCUCAUCGGCCGGCGCAGCGACGCCGCCGAGGACCACGAGGCGGCCGCCAAGGACAAGGGCAACAGCGGCGGCGGCUUCAGGGACCUGCUGGGGCUGAUGAUCAAUGCCCGCGACAAGAGGUCGCAGCCCAUGCUGGUGGAGGAGAUGGUGGAGGAGUGCAAGACGUUCUUCUUCGCCGGCAAGCAGACGACCACGAACCUGCUGACCUGGGCCACGGUGCUCCUGGCCAUGCACCCGGACUGGCAGGACCGCGCCCGGCAGGAGGUCCUCGCCGUGUGCGGCCCCGGCGAGCUCCCCACCAAGGAGCAGCUGCACAAGCUGAAAACGGUGGGGAUGAUCCUGAACGAGACGCUGAGGCUGUACCCGCCGGCGGUGGCCACCAUCCGCCGGGCCAAGGUGGACGUGGCCCUCGGGGACCUGGCGAUCCCGCGCGACACGGAGCUGCUGAUCCCGAUCAUGGCGAUCCACCACGACCCCGGGCUGUGGGGCCCCGACGCGGCGCAGUUCAACCCCGCCCGGUUCGCCGGCGGCGCGGCCCGCGCGGCGGCGCACCCGCUGGCGUUCAUACCGUUCGGGCUGGGCGCCCGGAUGUGCAUCGGCCAGAACCUCGCGCUCCUGGAGGCCAAGCUCACCGUCGCCGUCCUGCUCCAGCGGUUCGAGAUGAGGCCGUCGCCCAAGUACGUGCACGCGCCGACGGUGCUCAUGCUGCUCCACCCGCAGUACGGCGCGCCCGUGAUCUUCCGCCCGUCCCCUGUCGCCGCCCCGCCGUCCGCGUCGAUCCACGCUAGCUAG
rnacentral:rRNA from 1 species